AAGCGAUUUAUUUGUGUAGCUCAUUAUACAGGCAGAUUCCGAUGUUUACGUCACUGUAUUUCAAGGUAUAUUAUGAAAAUACAAUGACGUAAACAUCGGAAUCUGCAUGUAUAAUGAGCUACACAAAUAGAUCGCUU